rnacentral:rRNA from 1 species
GCCCCCCCCAAACAUCAACUAUUAUCUAAACUCUUUGUCUGAAAAAUAUUAUGAAUAAAACAAUUCAAAAUACAACUUUCAACAACGGAUCUCUUGGCUCUCGCAUCGAUGAAGAACGCAGCGAAAUGCGAUACGUAAUGUGAAUUGCAGAAUUCAGUGAAUCAUCGAAUCUUUGAACGCAUAUUGCGCUCUUUGGUAUUCCGAAGAGCAUGCUUGUUUGAGUAUCAGUAAACACCUCAAAGCCCUUUUCUUUUUUGAAAAAGGCUUUGGACUUGAGCAAUCCCAACACUUGAUCUCUUGAGACUGAGUGGCGGGUUGCUUGAAAUGCAGGUGCAGCUGGACUUUCUCCUGAGCUAAAAGCAUAUUCAUUUAAUCCCGUCAAACGGAUUAUUACUUUUGCUGCAGCUAAUAUAAAGGGAGAUUGACCAUUUUGGCUGACUGAUGCAGGAUUUUCACAAAAGGGUUCGCCUUUUUGUUAAACUCGAUCUCAAAUCAAGUAAGACUACCCGCUGAACUUAAGCAUAUCAAUAAGCGGAGGA